rnacentral:rRNA from 1 species
ACGGGGUAGGAAUACAUCGGAACGUACCUUUUGGUUGAGAAUAGCGUUGGGAAACUGACGGUAAUACUCAAUAAAGUCGAGAGACCAAAGGUUUACUGCCGGAAGAGCGGCCGAUGCGAUAUUAGGUAGUUGGUGGGGUAAUGGCCUACCAAGCCUGAGAUGUCUAGGGGGUGUGAGAGCAUGGCCCCCACCACUGGGACUGAGAUACUGCCCAGACACCUACGGGUGGCUGCAGUCGAGGAUCUUCGUCAAUGGGCGAAAGCCUGAACGAGCGACGCCGCGUGCGGGAUGAAGGCCCUUGGGUUGUAAACCGCUGUCAGGGGGGAUGAAACCGUAAGGUUGACAGAGCCCCAGAGGAAGCACGGGCUAAGUUCGUGCCAGCAGCCGCGGUAAUACGAACUGUGCGAACGUUACUCGGAAUCACUGGGCUUACAGGGUGCGUAGGUGGCUUGAUAAGCAGGGUGUGAAAUCCCUCGGCUCAACCGAGGAACUGCGCUCUGAACUGUCGAGCUAGAGUAUGCUAGAGGUGAAUGGAACAUCCAGU